rnacentral:other from 1 species
CAGUUCCUGAGAUGUUUGGAAGCUUUUAUAAUUCAACCGACAUAUGUAAUAUGGGAAUCUGAAGUCUACACUCAGAUGACACGCCCUCCGGGGAAGUCAAAAGUGUGUGGCAAGAUACCCACCUGCGAGAACUGCGGGUGUGAAUUAGAGGAGUGACCGGCAUGUCGGGAAAUAA